GAUGAACGCUGGCGGCGUGCUUAACACAUGCAAGUCGAGCGAGAAAAGUUCUUCGGAGCUUUUCUAGUGGCGGACGGGUGAGUAACACGUGGGCAACCUGCCUCAUAGAGGGGAAUAGCCUUCCGAAAGGAAGAUUAAUACCGCAUAAUAUUGUUGAAAGGCAUCUUUUAACAAUCAAAGGAGCAAUCCGCUAUGAGAUGGGCCCGCGGCGCAUUAGCUAGUUGGUGAGGUAACGGCUCACCAAGGCGACGAUGCGUAGCCGACCUGAGAGGGUGAUCGGCCACAGUGGAACUGAGACACGGUCCAGACUCCUACGGGAGGCAGCAGUGGGGAAUAUUGCACAAUGGGGGAAACCCUGAUGCAGCAACGCCGCGUGAGUGAUGAAGGUCUUCGGAUUGUAAAGCUCUGUCUUUAGGGACGAUAAUGACGGUACCUAAGGAAGAAGCCACGGCUAACUACGUGCCAGCAGCCGCGGUAACAC
rnacentral:rRNA from 1 species